GACAAAUUAGACAUUUCCUAAAAUUGGAAUGAUACAGAGAAAGAAGAUUAGCAUGGCCCCUGCACAAGGAAGGAUGACACCCAUGACAUUUCAAAGCUCUUC